rnacentral:rRNA from 1 species
UAUGUGAUCGUCUCUCGCAUAUCAAUAAGCGGAGGAAAAGAAACUAACAAGGAUUCCCCUAGUAACGGCGAGUGAAGCGGGAAGAGCUCAAAUUUGAAAUCUUAAAGGGUUUCCCUUUACGAAUUGUAGUUUAAAGAAGUGUUUUCUGUUGAGGUUUUGGUAAAAGUUCCCUUUGGAAUAGGACAUCAUAGAGGGUGAGAAUCCCGUAUUUGACCUUUACUUUCAACUUUGUGAUACACUUUCAAAGAGUCGGAUUGUUUGGGAAUGCAGUCCAAAAUGGGUGGUAAAUUUCAUCUAAAGCUAAAUAUUGGCGAGAGACCGAUAGCGAACAAGUACCGUGAGGGAAAGAUGAAAAGAACUUUGAAAAGAGAGUUAAACAGUACGUGAAAUUGUCAAAAGGGAAGCGUUUGACACCAGUGUUGUUUUUCUGAAAAUCAAUUAAAGAACUGUUUAUGCUAAGCUGUUUAGACUUUAUCAGCUAUCUGUUUAGUUUUGAGCUUUUCUUUAAUGCACUUUUCAGUUAACAAGUCAACAUCAAUUUCUUUUGCUGUAAAAAAGCUUGAGGAAGGGGGCUUGAGAUUCGUCUUAAGUGUUUAUAGCCUCUUGCCUAUGCAGUCGGAGAGAUUGAGGUCUGCAGCGUAGAUCCUUCGGGGCUAAAUACACUUGUGCUAAGUUAUAGCAUUUUAUAGACAACUUGUUGACUAUGAUUUGUCUUGCAGCUUACUCGCUUAUGUUAUUUUACCUACGCUUAGGAUGUUGACACACGCGCGUGCUCG